GUGUUGUAUGAAAGGAGAGAAGGUUAGCACUCCCCUUGACAAGGAUGGAAGAGGCCCUCGGGCCUGACCACACGCAUACGGAGACCAGCGUGGCCAACAUGGCAAAACUCUGUCACUACUA